AAGUCGAGCGAACGGACGAGAAGCUUGCUUCUCUGAUGUUAGCGGCGGACGGGUGAGUAACACGUGGAUAACCUACCUAUAAGACUGGGAUAACUUCGGGAAACCGGAGCUAAUACCGGAUAAUAUUUUGAACCGCAUGGUUCAAAAGUGAAAGACGGUCUUGCUGUCACUUAUAGAUGGAUCCGCGCUGCAUUAGCUAGUUGGUAAGGUAACGGCUUACCAAGGCAACGAUGCAUAGCCGACCUGAGAGGGUGAUCGGCCACACUGGAACUGAGACACGGUCCAGACUCCUACGGGAGGCAGCAGUAGGGAAUCUUCCGCAAUGGGCGAAAGCCUGACGGAGCAACGCCGCGUGAGUGAUGAAGGUCUUCGGAUCGUAAAACUCUGUUAUUUAGGGAAGAACAUAUGUGUAAGUAACUGUGCACAUCUUGACGGUACCUAAUCAGAAAGCCACGGCUAACUACGUGCCAGCAGCCGCGGUAAUACGUAGGUGGCAAGCGUUAUCCGGAAUUAUUGGGCGUAAAGCGCGCGUAGGCGGUUUUUUAAGUCUGAUGUGAAAGCCCACGGCUCAACCGUGGAGGGUCAU
rnacentral:rRNA from 1 species